rnacentral:misc_RNA from 1 species
UGAGUUGAGUUGAGUUGAGUUGAGCAUCCAUGCUGAAAAUCAUUUUACAGAAGCAUACGACUCCCUGUUACUUUUCUGUUGUUCAUUUAGGUGUUGUGGUUGUAUAAAAGAUAUGAAUGCCGUUUCAGUGAGCUAAUAAAUUGUGGGGAAGAUUAGAUGAAUUGAGUAAUUCUUUGUACAGCAAUUGCAUAAACUGUUUAUUUGUUGAACAAAAGGCAUAUCCAAUCUUUUCUAUAUUUAUAUUAACCCGCAGUGGUGGAUCCGCUUGGAAACCUGAGGUUUCCAUGGCUCCCCUAGGUUUUCAUUGAUUAUUUUUAAUGUUUACUUAUUAAUGUAAUUUAAUAUUUUACAGUUGACACUUAAUAUAGUAUUAUAUGGUCCCUUUUAAUUUGGACUAAAUUUUUAUUAUGGCACUCUCAAGCCAAAUGAAUAGAUUGG